rnacentral:rRNA from 1 species
UUUAACUGAAGAGUUUGAUCAUGGCUCAGAUUUAACGCUGGCGGCAGGCUUAACACAUGCAAGUCGAGCGGGGGAAGGUAGCUUGCUACUGGACCUAGCGGCGGACGGGUGAGUAAUGCUUAGGAAUCUGCCUAUUAGUGGGGGACAACAUCUCGAAAGGGAUGCUAAUACCGCAUACGUCCUACGGGAGAAAGCAGGGGAUCUUCGGACCUUGCGCUAAUAGAUGAGCCUAAGUCGGAUUAGCUAGUUGGUGGGGUAAAGGCCUACCAAGGCGACGAUCUGUAGCGGGUCUGAGAGGAUGAUCCGCCACACUGGGACUGAGACACGGCCCAGACUCCUACGGGAGGCAGCAGUGGGGAAUAUUGGACAAUGGGGGGAACCCUGAUCCAGCCAUGCCGCGUGUGUGAAGAAGGCCUUAUGGUUGUAAAGCACUUUAAGCGAGGAGGAGGCUACUUUAGUUAAUACCUAGAGAUAGUGGACGUUACUCGCAGAAUAAGCACCGGCUAACUCUGUGCCAGCAGCCGCGGUAAUACAGAGGGUGCGAGCGUUAAUCGGAUUUACUGGGCGUAAAGCGUGCGUAGGCGGCUUAUUAAGUCGGAUGUGAAAUCCCCGAGCUUAACUUGGGAAUUGCAUUCGAUACUGGUGAGCUAGAGUAUGGGAGAGGAUGGUAGAAUUCCAGGUGUAGCGGUGAAAUGCGUAGAGAUCUGGAGGAAUACCGAUGGCGAAGGCAGCCAUCUGGCCUAAUACUGACGCUGAGGUACGAAAGCAUGGGGAGCAAACAGGAUUAGAUACCCUGGUAGUCCAUGCCGUAAACGAUGUCUACUAGCCGUUGGGGCCUUUGAGGCUUUAGUGGCGCAGCUAACGCGAUAAGUAGACCGCCUGGGGAGUACGGUCGCAAGACUAAAACUCAAAUGAAUUGACGGGGGCCCGCACAAGCGGUGGAGCAUGUGGUUUAAUUCGAUGCAACGCGAAGAACCUUACCUGGCCUUGACAUACUAGAAACUUUCCAGAGAUGGAUUGGUGCCUUCGGGAAUCUAGAUACAGGUGCUGCAUGGCUGUCGUCAGCUCGUGUCGUGAGAUGUUGGGUUAAGUCCCGCAACGAGCGCAACCCUUUUCCUUACUUGCCAGCAUUUCGGAUGGGAACUUUAAGGAUACUGCCAGUGACAAACUGGAGGAAGGCGGGGACGACGUCAAGUCAUCAUGGCCCUUACGGCCAGGGCUACACACGUGCUACAAUGG